rnacentral:rRNA from 1 species
UACGGAGGGUGCGAGCGUUGUCCGGAAUCACUGGGCGUAAAGGGCGCGUAGGCGGUGACUUAAGCGUGUGGUGAAAGCCCGGGGCUCAACCCCGGGUCGGCCAUGCGAACUGGGUCACUCGAGCACUGUAGAGGCAGGUGGAAUUCCGGGUGUAGCGGUGGAAUGCGUAGAGAUCCGGAAGAACACCGGUGGCGAAGGCGGCCUGCUGGGCAGUAGCUGACGCUGAGGCGCGACAGCGUGGGGAGCAAACAGG